rnacentral:tRNA from 1 species
GAAGGUAUAGUUCAGUGGUAGAGUUAAGUGCUUAGCAUGCACAAGGUCCUGGGUUCAAUUCCCAGUACCUUUC